UACAGAGGUCUCAAGCGUUGUUCGGAUUCAUUGGGCGUAAAGGGUGCGUAGGCGGCGCGGUAAGUCGGGUGUGAAAUCUUGGAGCUUAACUCCGAAACUGCAUUCGAUACUGCCGUGCUUGAGGACUGGAGAGGAGACUGGAAUUUACGGUGUAGCGGUGAAAUGCGUAGAUAUCGUAAGGAAGACCAGUGGCGAAGGCGGGUUGCUGGGCUGACACUGACGCUGAAGCGCGAAAGCUAGGGGAGCGAACGGG
rnacentral:rRNA from 1 species